UAAUAUGUAAUGUUCGAUAUGAAUGAAUUGUACUAAAUCAAAUACUGUUACUCGUUAACAUGAUGGUUAGUGUCCAUCAUGCUUUUGGAUUCUGCAUCAGACAACUUUUAAAAAUAGCUAAUGUUAGCUAGCGUUAGCUAACAUUAGCUAGCGUUAGCUAGCAGUAACAGUCUAAGAAUAUGGUACAGAUGAAGUUGGAAAUGUUUUGGCAAGGAAAUUAUUGGAUAUGACUGAAUUUCCAUUUGUAGUUGCAUUAUAGCUUUUGGAUUUUGCUGAGGACAACUUUUUGAAUUCGGUCAUGUUAGCUAAUGCUAGCUAACGUUAGCUAGCGCUAGUCUUAGCCUAAAAAUCCAUUUUGAACUGAUGUUUGGCAAGGAUGUGACAGUAUUUGUUGCUGUAAUUGUGUUGUAAUGUGUUUGUAGAGAGGAAAAUGCCAGGCGGAGAGGGAAGAAAAGAGAUCACCUGCCGGAGGGACUGAAGCAAGUAAAAAGAUGCUCUUACACAGCAGAUGGGGACAGCCGCCGUCACCCAAUUUAAUUUUGCCCAGGCCGUGCAACAGUUGCUGCACUAUGCGUCAGACCGGGCAGGAUGGACUGGACGACAAAGCAGUCAGACGUCAGAGGACCAUGAACUGUAACUAUGCUAAAGAGGACAAAUAAUGAAAUAAGAGGCUAAUAAAAUGAAUUUGUUUUUACCUUAAA